rnacentral:rRNA from 1 species
UACAGAGGUCCCGAGCGUUGUUCGGAUUCACUGGGCGUAAAGGGUGCGUAGGUGGCGAGGUAAGUCGGAUGUGAAAGCUCGGAGCUCAACUCCGAAAUGGCAUUGGAAACUACCUUGCUCGAGGGUUGGAGGGGGGACUGGAAUACUUGGUGUAGCAGUGAAAUGCGUAGAUAUCAAGAGGAACACCCAUGGCGAAGGCAGCAAACUGGGCAUCAACUGACGCUGAGGCGCGAAAGCGUGGGUAGCAAACAGG